rnacentral:rRNA from 1 species
CACGUAGGGCGCAAGCGUUGUCCGGAAUUAUUGGGCGUAAAGGGCUCGUAGGCGGUUUGUCGCGUCGGGAGUGAAAACCCCGGGCUUAACUCGGUGCUUGCUUUCGAUACGGGCAGACUAGAGGCAUGCAGGGGAGAACGGAAUUCCUGGUGUAGCGGUGAAAUGCGCAGAUAUCAGGAGGAACACCGGUGGCGAAGGCGGUUCUCUGGGCAUGUCCUGACGCUGAGGAGCGAAAGUGUGGGGAGCGAACAGG